ensembl:snoRNA SNORD42 Small nucleolar RNA SNORD42
GUGCAUAUGAUGUAAAAAUUUAAGCUCCUGAGACUGGUGAUGUCUUCAAAGGAACCACUGAUGCAC